rnacentral:rRNA from 1 species
CGUAGGGUGCGAGCGUUAAUCGGAAUUACUGGGCGUAAAGUGUGCGCAGGUGGCCGCGCAAGUCGAGUGUGAAAUCCCCGGGCUUAACUUGGGAAUUGCGCUCGAAACUACGUGGCUGGAGUGUGGCAGAGGGAGGUGGAAUUCCAAGUGUAGCGGUGAAAUGCGUAGAGAUGUGGAGGAACACCAAUGGCGAAGGCAGCCUCCUGGGCCAACACUGACACUCAUGCACGAAAGCGUGGGGAGCAAACAGGAUUAGAUACCCUGGUAGUCCACGCCCUAAACGAUGAUGACUAGUUGUUGGAGGAGUUAAAUCCUUUAGUAACGCAGCUAACGCGCGAAGUCAUCCGCCUGGGGAGUACGGUCGCAAGAUUA